rnacentral:rRNA from 1 species
UUCGCAAUGCCCGAAAGGGUGACGAAGCGACGCCGCGUGUGGGAAGAAGGCCUUCGGGUCGUAAACCACUGUCGGGAGUUAAGAAAUGUAAGGGUGUUAAUAGCGCCUUUGCUUGACUAAGGCUCCGGAGGAAGCCACGGCUAACUCUGUGCCAGCAGCCGCGGUAAUACAGAGGCGGCAAGCGUUGUUCGGAAUUAUUGGGCGUAAAGAGCACGUAGGCGGCUGUGUAAGUCGGUUGUGAAAGCCUUCUGCUUAACGGAAGAACAGCAUCCGAUACUGCAUAGCUCGAGUGCGGGAGGGGAGAGUGGAACUUCUGGUGGAGCGGUGAAAUGCGUAGAUAUCAGAAGGAACGCCGGCGGCGAAAGCGACUCUCUGGCCCGUAACUGACGCUGAGUGUGCGAAAGCUAGGGGAGCAAACGGGAUUAGAUACCCCGGUAGUCCUAGCCGUAAACGAUGGGCACUAAGUAGAGGGGUUUU